CUGUCCUGUGGGUCUAAAAAGUCGGACACCAGACGAAGUACACUGUAGGGGAGUUUACGAAUAUAAGUCGAACGAGUCACCGUGUCGUUCAUUGUGUCACAAAACACGAGCUGCAGGGAGGAGACAUCGAACGAGAGGAGACAGAAAUCAAAAAGUCUGUUGCGGGUUGAAAACAAAGCCAGGUUGCAGGAGAAGUGCCAGGCUCGCUUGAAUGAGCUUGGAAGAGCUCAGCCUGAGGAGGAAGUGAUCAGAACGCCGAUUGGUCGAGUCUUCCCGUUGUGACCCGAGCCCGGUGGCAUCAUGCUGCUCCCAAGUCACAUCCAGGUGCACGCAGACCGUAAAGACUCGCUCCACCCAACUGCAAUCACAAAGCUCGAGGGGCAACGGGCUCCCCGCCAGCCACUUAGGUCAACACGUUGUCCCCCCACCCCCCCCAUCACUGUCAAUGUCAACGUCACCAGCACGUACGACGUGAGCCCACCCUACUGCGAACCUCUCGCCAAGCCCGCCACCUCGGACGGGGUUGUCAAGCCCACGAUUGUUCCGUGAAGCCGAGUGGCCGAUCAAAGCCCGUCGCAGCAGGAGACCUCCUUGAAGCGGCCUCGUCCGGUCCGUGACCUAUAAGCAGUGCGGGACCCCUGUCGUCCUGGUCCCUACUUUUCGUAGCCCUCCACCCCUUCCCCUCAACCUGACCAGGAGCAGUGAGCCAGGCAGGCCUGUGAAUAAGCACAAGAGAAUGAAUGACCGAGUGGAUGGGUGGUCCCUCUGCCACGGGAUUGGACUUGAUGGAACCGAAAGAAGCUCUCAUGCGGCGUCACGUCGAACAAUAAUGUGCGAAAAGAGUUCAGAAUUCCCGGAAGGACGUUUACUUUACUCCUGGUCUCUUUUUGUCAAAACGGAUUUCUUCGGUGACCAAGUCAGCUUGUCUCUUCCGAGCUCAAAAACAGGAAGAAUGGUGUUGUCAAAGCUUUUUUUUUUUUUUUUUUGGUUGUUGAAUGUGCACAUUCACUGUCACUCGUUUUCUCUCAGGGCCCCCCUUAUAGUUGUUAUGUGUAAUUGUGUGAAUGCUAAGUAAUAUCUCGAACAAGAAAUGGUGCUGUGUUGAAGUGAUUUUAGCGGAAAGAAGAAUCCAAUUUAUAAUGAAAUCCCAGAUGAAGUUUGAAGGUCUAAAAAAAAUUGCCCAGGUAUU